rnacentral:rRNA from 1 species
CAACCCUGGGGCGGGGGGCGAUACUGCCGGGCUAGGGGGCGGAAGAGGCCGCCGGUACUCCGGGGGUAGGGGCGAAAUCCGUUAAUCCCCGGAGGACCACCAGUGGCGAAAGCGGGCGGCCAGAACGCGCCCGACGGUGAGGGGCGAAAGCCGGGGGAGCAAACCGGGCUCAGGUCGGCGUUGCGCAGACAAUCUAAUCAUCCAGUCCCACCACGCGCGCCAACCCCCUCAUCUUUACCAAGCCGACCUGGCCCGGGCUCAAAGGGGAUUAGAUACCCCCGUAGUCCA